GAUGAACGCUGGCGGCGUGCCUAAUACAUGCAAGUCGAGCGAACAGACGAGGAGCUUGCUCCUCUGACGUUAGCGGCGGACGGGUGAGUAACACGUGGAUAACCUACCUAUAAGACUGGGAUAACUUCGGGAAACCGGAGCUAAUACCGGAUAAUAUAUUGAACCGCAUGGUUCAAUAGUGAAAGACGGUUUUGCUGUCACUUAUAGAUGGAUCCGCGCCGCAUUAGCUAGUUGGUAAGGUAACGGCUUACCAAGGCGACGAUGCGUAGCCGACCUGAGAGGGUGAUCGGCCACACUGGAACUGAGACACGGUCCAGACUCCUACGGGAGGCAGCAGUAGGGAAUCUUCCGCAGUGGGCGAAAGCCUGACGGAGCAACGCCGCGUGAGUGAUGAAGGUCUUCGGAUCGUAAAACUCUGUUAUUAGGGAAGAACAAAUGUGUAAGUAACUAUGCACGUCUUGACGGUACCUAAUCAGAAAGCCACGGCUAACUACGU
rnacentral:rRNA from 1 species